CCUACGGGUGACAGCAGUGGGGGAUAUUGGGCAAUGGGCGCAACCCUGACCCAGCAACGCCGCGUGGAGGAAGAAGGGUUUCGGGUUGUAAACUUCUUUUGUCAGGGACGAAGCAAGUGACGCUACCUGACGAAUCAGCCACUGCUAACUACGUUCCAGCAGCCGCUGUACGACGUAGGUGGCAAGCGUUAUCCGGCUUUACUGGGUGUAAAGGGCGUGCAGGCGGGGAAGCAAGUCAGAUGUGAAAACCACGGGCUCAACCUGUGGCCUGCAUUUGAAACUGGUUGUCUUGAGUGCUGGAGAGGCAGGCGGAAUUCCGAGUGUAGCGGUGAAAUGCGUAGAUAUACGGAGGAACACCAGUGGCGAAGGCGGACUGCUGGACAGUAACUGACGCUGAGGCGCGAAAGCGUGGGGAGCAAACAGGAUUAGAUACCCUGGUAGUC
rnacentral:rRNA from 1 species